rnacentral:rRNA from 1 species
ACACUGACGUCGCGACGCAUAUCAAUAAGCGGAGGAAAAGAAACUAACAAGGAUUCCCUUAGUAACGGCGAGUGAAGCGGGAAGAGCUCAAAUUUGAAAUCUUCAAGGUUUUACCUCGACGAAUUGUAGUUUAAAGAAGUGUUUUCUGCUGAAGUUUUGGUAAAAGUUCUUUGGAAUAGGACAUCAUAGAGGGUGAGAAUCCCGUAUUUGACCAUUAUUUUCAGCUUUGUGAUACACUUUCAAAGAGUCGGAUUGUUUGGGAAUGCGGUCCAAAAUGGGUGGUAAAUUUCAUCUAAAGCUAAAUAUUGGCGAGAGACCGAUAGCGAACAAGUACCGUGAGGGAAAGAUGAAAAGAACUUUGAAAAGAGAGUUAAACAGUACGUGAAAUUGUCAAAAGGGAAGCGUUUGACACCAGUGUUGUUUUUCUGAAAAUCAAUUAAAGAACUGUUUAUGCUAAGUUGUUUAGACUUUAUCAGCUAACUGUUUAGUUUUGAGCUUUUCUUUAAUGCACUUUUCAGUUAACAAGUCAACAUCAAUUUCUUUUGCUGUAAAAAAGCUUGAGGAAGGUGGCUUGAGAUUCGUCUUAAGUGUUUAUAGCCUCUUGCCUAUGCAGUCGGAGAGAUUGAGGUCUGCAGCGUAGAUCCUUCGGGGCUAAAUGCAUUUGUGCUAAGUUAUAGCAUUUUAUAGACAACUUGUUGACUAUGAUUUGUCUUGUAGCUUACUCGCUUAUGUUAUUUUACCUACGCUUAGGAUGUUGAACUCUAUCACACACAG